CAGUGCUUGAAGUCUCAAGUCAUCACCUGUACACGACCAGUUAGAAACUUCGGCCCUUCUUCCCAGGACCUCCAGAUUUACACUGAGGAAUCAAAACAGAAAAGACAGGCACAGCGAUGUGGAAGUGAUUCGAGUGGACAGGGCUGGGCAGGCUACUGCACGCCGAGUCGGAGAUCUGACUCAAUGCUACACGGAGGGAUGCCCAGGGAGCUAAUAGAGAUGGACGCAAAUCCACACUGGACUGAGAUGACGAGAGGAUGACAAAGUGCUACCAAUUGGCAGUGGGAACCGGGCAAACACCAAACCAAGAACAAAAGAGCUACUCUGUCCUCCGUCUUUCACCGAGGCAAACUGGCAUCAUUCCACCUCCACGGCCCAUGCCACCAAUAUCGUGGGUGGAGUUAUACCGAAAAGCUGGAAGUUGUGCAGAUGAUGAUGGCGAUGAUAACGGAUACUGUUACAGGUACAGAUAUAGAGAUAUAAAAUACUUAAUGAUGAGCUACAUUAACUUCGGAUCUCUACGACAGAACUAACGUAUUGUGCAACUUACAUCGCGUGCAAAACGUACGGCGCGUGGCUGAACGGUCAGACUCGGUUUAAUCCGGACGUCUUUUGUGUCACCAUCUGGGUUUUUAAACAAAGCCGUUCUAUAAAGUUAAAUAAAGGAGCCCUGUAGGACAGGCUUUUCUCCGACGAGUACACACACUUGAGCCACUGUUUAAAAGGAGCGAGUCGGAGAAAAGUUUCCCAGAAAUAUACGCCAUUGUUCUUUUCCCGUGCAUUAGCAGCACUCCAGACAGCCGUGUUGUAUUCAUUUUCGCCAGCUCUGUAAUGGCAUGUCAUUUUGUAUAUGAAAGCGUGUGACAGGCACCGUCUCGCAAGCCUAACUAGAGUCUGAACUCAUCAGCGGCACAGGACUGAAAGUACAGAGCCGAGGUGUAAUUUAUGACGCAUUAGCACACACUUACACAGCUGGAUACACACGGGGGCGGUGCUCCGAGCGUCUGUGCCCUGCGCGGGUAAUAAGGCUAUUGUAACACCGUGAUGUAUGGCUUUGGCCCGCAUUACUCGCUCAUUACCGUCCUGCUGGACGUAUUUUACGGAGGUGACUUACUCGCCCCCGGUCGCCUCCAUGAGCGCCGCAUUCGCACGCAUCAUAAAACAUCAAAACUCCGCGUGUCUCUCAGACCAUGCCGGGGCCACGGCGUCUCUGGAAGCAGCCGAGCAAACGGAAAGACGUCCGCUAAAAUAAAUAAUUUCUCACGGCGCCGCCACAAAUAGCCGGGUUACUGCGAGUCUGACCUGUGGCUAAUGGAAGACUCGUCACACCGUCAAGGUUAGGGCUUGCUUUUUUUUUCUCUCUGCUUCCCCUUUACUCUUUUUUGCCGUCUUGGAGACCCUAGGAUGAAGAGUCCUGACCCGUGUGGUCCUCUGUAAAAGCUUCCCUCUAUCAAAGUGUCAAGAGAAGAAAAAAAAAAAGAAAAGAGAAAAACAUCUGACAGGUCUGAAAGUCAGGAGGAAUAGCAGUUCCUUAGAAACAUUGCCUGAUCUCCACUGAUCCUCCGUCUGUAUCCUCAGACCAGACUGAUCCAGGAUCAGCGGGCAACCCUGGGAAUCGUUCUCCCUCAGAGGACAUCUCAAAAAUCAAAGAACGGCGAGAGAAACGCAGGAAGAGACUCCACCCACUCCGCAAGAUGCCAGUCUUGUUAGCCCGAAGUGCCGCUAUUAAUUAGCGGGGCCACCGUGGCCUCCCACUCGUUAGCACCAGAGUAAACACUCCUAAUUUGUUAUGCAUUUUAAUGGCCUUCUCCAAAACACUCAAGAAACGACUGUGGGUUUUUUAAAAAAAAAAAAAAAAAAAAGAAAACACACAAACACAAAUCCCCAGCAAGCUGUGACGGAGAGGGAGAUGAAAGCAAGAGCUUGGUCAAACAGAGUCGGUCUCUUCCCGCGCAACACGGAGACGGACGGCGGAUGAAGGAAAUCCGUGGGCGUACAAGGUUACUGCUGGAGUUUACGCGUGUUUAACAGCUCACUAUUACAUCUUUACUGCCUCUCAUCACAAAGCAACGAGCCUUCAUGAUACACGGAGAGGAAUACACCGGUGCGGCGAUGUGCGCUCCGGGCUGAACCGCUCCCGAAUACAGCCAGGAAGCACGGGACACGGAGGAGAGGAAAACACACAAUCUCAAGGGGUGAAGGAAAUGCCUGAUUCAUUCGUCUUCCCGAGUCUCCACCUGGAGGGGGUGUGAGACAGGAAGUAAACCCUAGAACGGGACACCGGUCCAUCACACACGUACAUCGAGGGGCAAUUUAAUACGGAAAAUCUACAUACCGGAAUGUUUUUGGGAGGAAACCGGAGAACCUGGAGGAAAACCUCGCGGACAAGCGGAGAACACGAGGAACUCGGGAUCGAACUAGGAUUCUUUCGAACAUCGGCCCGACGUUUUAGACGAUGGAUCGUACCAUCAUCGUACAGUGUUUUCACUCCAUUACACACGGCAGUAAUAUUACAAGGACCUGCGUUUUAAUAAUAAUAAUAAUAAAAAAAAGCUCUAAAGAAAUGUCACAACCGCCGUAAACACCCGUUUACCCGAACACAUCUUACCAUCUUUCACGAAGCCCGAUGUCCUCGGCGUUUCAAGAUACUCGUGUGUUUCCGCCGACUGGAACGUCUGUCAAAUUGUGCUGGUGCUCUUAUUUUUAUAAAUAAUCUCUUCAGCGUUAACGACAUCAUUCCCUGAUCUCCGCUUCGUACGGAAGGAAAACACGUACAGGAGAAUAAUCAACGACGAGGCGGUGCAGUACGGCCCAACGUGGAGCGUUUUAUUCCUCCUAGACCACAACAAUCACACUUUAUCAUUCAUUAUGCUUUUAACCUUUCUUUCUUUUUUUUUUUUUUUUGUGUUACGUAUAACAUCCAAGAAACAAGUUAGUUCCUGUUAUCACUUACGCUAUAGCAGCUACAAACUAGUCGCCCCAUCACCGAAGGAACAAACUAUAAAAAAAUAAAUAAUAAACGAACGCUUGUAAUGUUCCAGAGAAAACAUUAAUUCUUUCAUCCUUAACACUUUCCCGUAGUUCUCGACGUCACACAGCGAUACUAUAAAAACGUUUUAUUAUUAUUAUUAUUAUUAUUAUACUACACAGCUCAUUUUCUCUAAUGACCCCGAUCACGCCUGAUCAUAUUUAUAUGACAGAGAUGAUUAAAAAAUGACAGUAAUCUAAAACAAAAAUCAGAUUCGAGUCCCCGUCUCGUUCUCUACGUCUCUUAUUUACACACGUACACCUGGAAGCUCUUUUAGGGCUCCGUAUUCUUUAUUUUCAUCAUUAACGAGAUGAAGAGAAGAUGAACUGGGGAUUUAAAAUAAAAAAAUAAAAAUCAUAUAAACGUUACAGCCGAAUCGAUGGCUUCGGGCAAUGUUUCACAACACCGCUAAUUACUAAACCGAACACAGGGGUUAAAUAUGACUUCUAAACCUCAGAUAUCAAGACUUGUCUUAUUGGUUUCUGAUUAAUGACUAUUUCAUGCUCUCUUCUUAGAGUUCAUCAUCAACAGCACACACACACGCAAGCAGAGUCCUAUGUGCUUAUUAAAGCCUUUAAGUACCUCACAUUCAAAUGUGUAAUUGAGGUUGUGAAAGGUGGGAGUUGACCAUGCUAAGGGGGCACUUACACCUCUCUCUCUCUCUCUCUCUCUCUCUCUCUCUCUCUCUCACACACACACACCCUUGGGUAUACGCAUCAUUAUAUGACCCUGAAGGUAAUUGUAUUGGAUCGGCAGUUAACUGAAAUGAAUCGACCGGUCACUCGUUUAACUGCAUCAUUUGUAUGCUACGUGUCGAGAUGUAUAACACCGUAUAGACUGAGAGAUGAGGGAUUCCGUCCCCAAGUAAACAAGGGUGACCCCCGAGCCCCGCCCCGCUUUUUUCAGGUUGCUCCAGUCUGUACCCGUACCGUCUCUGCAUCACACGCCAAGCAUAAAUCUAAACACCGUCUAAAUUAAAUUUCCACCGAA